UCCAGGUGGUUUUUAGUCUUUACUGAUGAAAGGGUGUUCAUGUUAGUUUCUUCAAAACCCUAUCUAAUACUAGGCAAAGUAGCCAAGAGCCUUUUGUUUUGUUUUUAUUUUGAUAAAUUAGUGGAGAAAUGGCAUUUUAAGAGGAGUCUCUUCUCAACUUACCUGAGAGUCGAAUUCUUCUCUUCCCUAACCAAUGAAGCUAAGUGGUUAUCCCAGAAACUUGUCUUCUAAAAGGGAGGACUCCAGGCCAUCAAUAAAGAUGUCCAGGCAGUGAGCGUACUUUUUACACCCUGUAGAAUUGUGGGCUGUAGCGUUACUCUGAUUUUCUGUCUAGUAUCAGAGAAUGCUGGUAGCUUAAAAUUUUUAUUUUAGGACUUGUACUCUGAAUUUUCAGGAACCGUCAAAGGAGCAGCAGCAAAUUCACAUAUUUUCGACUUGAGAAAUGCUUGUGGUAUGUGUUUUCCAAACUGCCCCCUAUAUGUAAAGUUCAGUUUAACCACUGAUUGCCUUGUUAUUACUAGGUUUUUUGAGAUUAAAAAAAAAAAAUCCCUGGUUUAAAACCAACAAUGAUGCCUAGUGAGUAUGUGUCCACAGGCCAUAACAGGGUAGAAGAGAGACAUCGUGCAACCCAAUGAGUAGUGAAGGGACUGUGUUGCUUGUGAAGCGGUGUAGUAGCAUUUUUGCAGAUUCUUGGCUGGGUUUAGUGUACUGAUCUAGAAAAGCUGUUUUUCUGCUCCUUUGUGGAAGGCAGUUAUGAUCAGGCUGCAUGGACAAAGCAGGUAGAGGGGCACCAUCAGGGGCUCUUGCACUAUUUUCACCUCUAAAUAUUACGUACUCAGUAGUGCCCUGCUUCUAGGGCUCUGAAUACGGGCUUAAAGUCAUCUUGUCCUGCUGGAAUUUGCUGUGCAGAGCCAUAAGCCUCCCAUUUUGUUAGCGUCAGCUAGGCCAAUAGGAACAGACCGGGACCUUGUCUCACACUGAUGAUACCUCACAUGUUGACCGGCUAUGUGAACUGCCUAUUUCCUAUGCUGGAGUUUUGAUUUUUAACUAAACGCAAAUCUGUAGAUUCUCUCCUCUCCCAUCCCAGAAAACAAAACAAAAUAAUGCUUUUCGAAAUUGUUUCUAGGACUUUAAAACAUAAUGGUAUAUCCAAAAUUCUUUAUUUCAGAAUGCAACAAUAGAUUCCAUUAAUAUAGACUCAAGAUCAAAACAGCAUACCUGCUAAGCUAAGAUAGAUGGUGUUGAUUCCACUGGGUUUUGAUCAAUACAAUAACAAACCUUUUUCCUUUGACAUACUCUGAAUUUUGUUGUUUGGGGGGAGGGGGUGUGUGUGUGUGUGUGUGUGUGUGUGUGUGUAUGUGUGUGUGUGUGUGUGCACGCGCAGUGUCCAUCAGUAUCAGUGCCUGCCUGAGUUAGGAAAAUUACAUUCCUGGUUCUGUAUUGAGGAGAAGGAUGUAUAAAGCAACAUGAAACAUUAGCCCUCCUUUUAUUUUAAAGACUAAUGUUAAUUGUUCUUAAAACUGGAUUUUUUUUCCUUAAAGCAAUUUUUUUCUUUUCGAUUUAAUGAAGUAUUGCUAGCUGAAGCCAGUUUGACAUAGAGAGAUGUCAGAUUGAUUUGAAAGGUGUGCAGCCUGAUUUAAAACCAAACCCUGAACCCUUUUAAAGAACAAUAAAACAUAUUUUACACGCUC
rnacentral:lncRNA from 1 species